rnacentral:rRNA from 1 species
UUGUCCAGCCAACAAGUACUAAACGUUGAUGCAUCGUUUCAUGUUGAAGAUCAUACAGGCGGGUGUGGAGCAGUAGUAAGAGACAGCCGCGGGAAAUUCAUCGGCGCAUCAACAGCUUAUCUCAUGCAAAUCCCGGAUGUCGUCUCGGCGGAAGCUGCAGCUCUGUUAGAAGGCAUAAAACUUCUCCAAAUCCUAGGUUGCAACAAUGUGAUGCUGAGAAUGGAUAAUAUUGUGGUGGUUGAUGCUCUACGGAUGAAUGAAGGUCAUGCUAUGGUGGCAGCCCCAGUUUUAGAAGAAUGUAGAUUCUUGCUUCGUGAGUUCGGGAAGGUAACUAUUGAGCAUUGUAAUCGAGAGUGA